rnacentral:tRNA from 1 species
GGGGUUGUGACUCAGUGGUACAGCACUUGCCUAGCAUGCAUGAGACACUGGGUUCAAUCCUCAGCACCACA